rnacentral:tRNA from 2 species
GGGGCUAUAGCUCAGCUGGGAGAGCGCAACACUGGCAGUGUUGAGGUCAACGGUUCGAUCCCGUUUAGCUCCACCA